UCGGCACGCUCUCACUCUCAAACCUAAAACCCCACACCUGACUCUCAAGUAGAUCUUCUCUCUUGCUCUCGCACACAACAGAACUCUCUUCCGAGUCUCAAACCAGCAUCAAUCCAACAUCAAUCUCUUCCAAAUUCUCUUCAAAUCGUUUUGGUUCGAGGAAAACCUAGAAACUGAAAACAUCUCUCUCUCAGACUCUCAAUCUCUUCGACAGUCGAUGGCAGCGGCACGGCCGGUGGCGACACUCGAUCUCCUUGACGGUGGACGACGAGUUCUCCUUACUCCUACAUCAGUACCACCAACAAAUCCAGAGGUUGGAAGGGAAGGGCGUAGAUGGGAAAGAGCGAGCUAACUUCAGCCAAAAAACCCAAGGGAGCUGCAGGAAAUACAUGUUUGGUUAGUGGCAAGGCUGGGGAGAGUGGAAAAGCAACUUCUAGUUCUAGAAUGAUGGAGUUUCACAAAGGCUCUCCUCCUGGUUUUAGAUAGCCCGAUUAAUAAAGCUGGGAAGUUGCGAUGUGUGUAUAUGAAGACCGAGGAUGGUAAACUUAUUGAGAUUAAACCAUAUGUUUGUAUCCUAAGGACGUUUAAGCAGUUCUCUAGUGUCAUGUUGCAGCUACUACAGAAACUGAGUAUAUCUGCCGUUGGUAAGCGUGAGAAACUUAUGCGUAUGAUCAAGAACCCUGUGACACGGUAUUUACCUGUUAACUCCCGGAAAGUGUAGGUGAGUAUAUUGUACUUCAGAAGUGUUCAUGUCACAUCCAUUAUGAAUGUCAUGAUGUAUUUUUGCAUUUCAGGACUCUCGUACAGUUUAGAGAAAUUAGUUAGCAUUCAAAAAUAUGUUGUUGCUGCUGAAAACAAUAUGGACCUUGUCUUUGUGGUAUGGUUUGUACUAACUUGGCGUUAUCUUUAUAUAUAAUAUGGUAAAAAUGGAAUUCUAUUAUAACACUGCAUUUUCAGGUUGGUGCAAUGGCUUAUGGCAAAGUUGAGACAAACUAUACUGAUGAUUUUGUAUCAAGUCAGUUGAUUGCAGAUUGUGUUCUUUUCUGCUUUGGAUUUUCUUUGUAAAUUGGGGGGAGCACUCGCUUUCCCUGCAUGUAUAUCUUUGCUUUUCGUCAGCAUCAUUUUUUAUGCUUUUUGAGGCAGACUCCCCUUGCUUUUACUACUGAAAAGUUAACUGACCUACUGUUGGAAUUCAAAAUUAUCUAAAGAGGUCCAAUAUGGUGAAUGAUUAAAAAAAAAUUAUUUGUUAAGAAAACCUGAACAUUAGGAUUCAAAGCAACAUUGAUAGACCUAGACAUUAUUAGGCCAUGCAUUUUCUUUAUGGUCCAUUGUAUUUGAACUAAUUGGAUAGAAGUAAUUAUUUGAAAUCAUGCAUUACUUCCGGUUAUGUCUUCUAUGUAAAUAUCUAUUUAUUGUUAAUAGUUUAAUCAAGCUGUUAAACUAUAGAAUAUUAGCUGUUUUUUGGGGAUUCAAAUCACUCAUCCAAAUGGGGUCAUUUUGUCAAAAUUUUGAUGACCAAUCUGGUACCAGUAACUGCCUUGCAUUAAUGUACUAAUGUAAUAACUUUUCACAAGCUUUAGAUUGCUCGAGGCUUUACCAUUUUGCAUUGAUUAAAGCUUUAAACUUUUCACAAGUUUAUAUUUUGUGCUUUGGAUUUUAGACUUUAACUUGGCCUAAGAAAUAACUGUUGGUAUGAUUUUCUUCUAAUAAAACGUGGUUGUUAUAUCAUUAGGAGUAUGGUGCAACCGUGCAAACAAGAAGGGAAGCUUUGACAAGAUGCUUGCAGAUGCUAUGGAGCAAAUGCAAAUGCGAAGAAAAAAAAACACGGCUUCAGUGCCUGGGAAGCCUCUAGUUUCUAUGCUUGCAACUAGUCUGAAUAUGGAAUGGACUUGUGGAGAGAAGGAUCAUAUUAUUACUUUUUUUUUUUUUUUUUUACCAAAAGCACUCACUGCUGAUAUUUUAUUUUUUGCCAGAUAACACUCAGUGUUCAUAUUCUUCCUCACAUUUGCGCUGCUAGGCUAUGUGAGUAAAACUUUUCUGCGUAGAUAUAUUCACCAAGGUUGGAUUCAGCUCCUCUUAGAUGGGUCAAUUCUGUUCAUGGAUUGCUACUUUUCCUAUACCAGGUUUGCUUAAAUCAUGUUCAAUUUAUGUGUUUGCUGUGCGCCUCUUGUAUUAAUUAACAUAACAUUAUGUGUACAUUGGGAUCUCUCCAUUUUGUUAUUGCCUGCUCUUUGGAUAAUUAUCAGGUAGCUCAAGACUAAAUAAUAAACCUUCGAUGUUGGACAAGGAGUUUAGAAGUUCAAAGCGGGCGACAGAGUUGUAGCAUUUCACCAUGUGAGAAGAGAGCGCCUCUGCUUCAGAAUUGGAAUGAACAGAAGUAGUAGAAGAAAAUGCUUACAACUGAAGCUGCUCAAGGCACAAGGUUGUGUUAACUACUUGUUUCUAUGUAAUUAGUCAAGAUAAUGCAUUGAUGACUUGUACAUCCGGAGUUGUUAAUAUAAAGAUUCAUAUAUAUAAAAAAUUGAUUCUUUGGCUGUA